UACAGAGGGUGCGAGCGUUGUCCGGAAUUACUGGGCGUAUAGGGCGCGUAGGCGGCCUGAUAAGUAGGGGGUGAAAUCUCACGGCUCAACCGGGAGGCUGCCUUCUAAACUGUCAGGCUUGAGCACGGUAGAGGCAGAUGGAAUUCCCGGUGUAGCGGUGGAAUGCGUAGAGAUCGGGAAGAACACCAGUGGCGAAGGCGGUGUGCUGGGCCGUUGCUGACACUGAGGCGCGACAGCGUGGGGAGCAAACAGG
rnacentral:rRNA from 1 species